UGACCUCGGAUCAGGUAGGAAUACCCGCUGAACUUAAGCAUAUCAAUAAGCGGAGGAAC
rnacentral:rRNA from 1 species